rnacentral:rRNA from 1 species
GUAGGAAUCUACCUGGUAGAGGGGGAUAGCCCGGGGAAACCCGGAUUAAUACCGCAUACGCCCUUAGGGGGAAAGGAGGGGAUCUUCGGACCUUUCGCUAUCAGAUGAGCCUGCGUAGGAUUAGCUAGUUGGUGUGGUAAAGGCGCACCAAGGCGACGAUCCUUAGCUGGUCUGAGAGGAUGAUCAGCCACACUGGGACUGAGACACGGCCCAGACUCCUACGGGAGGCAGCAGUGGGGAAUAUUGGACAAUGGGGGCAACCCUGAUCCAGCCAUGCCGCGU